UUCUAGGUCAGGUCCCAGAAGCAGAGCCUGACACCUGGAUUCUGGUGGAGAUAAUUUACUUCAGGUGCUCUCAGGUGAAACCUAUAAGGGACAGAGGCAGCAGAGUAAGAAUGAGGUCUUAGGUCAAGUCUUGGAUUAUCCUUGAGACAAGGGGGCUGCCUUCUGUACCCCAUAUCAGUCAUCAGUUGGGCUGACCCCUCGGAGUGUGGGGGUAUAACUUCUUGAAUGAGAUGGCACCAAUCAGCUGAGGACAAGUCUCUUGAGAGGGAGCAGCUGUGAGCCAUCAACCCCCGAUACCAACAGCAGAUGUGGAAAGAGUUCCUUGACCUGGUCUUUGUUCCAUCCUAUAGGGGAGCAGUGGCAGUCAACACCAAUGUGUGGCAUGGGAUGAAUCUCUAACACAAAACUCUGUGACUCUGCUUUGAGAAGUCUCUGCAAAGUUUGAAAUAUGCCAAAGAAAAAUGCCAGUGCUCCACACUAUAAGAAUUAACCAACUUUUAAUGAGUCCACUGAAGCAGAUAAUCAAUGAGGCUUCUAAGAGGCAGUUUUCUCCUCCAGGUCUUAGCAUCAUUACAAGCUCCUGAAGGAUGGAAGUUGUUCUGAAAGACUUAAAAAGGAUGAUACCUACACAUACUCCUUUUAAAAAGCUGUUUUUCUAUGUUUUUAAAAAAUAAAGUUAAAAAAUACU